GACGUAGGGCGCGAGCGUUGUCCGGAUUUAUUGGGCGUAAAGAGCUCGUAGGCGGUUUGUCGCGUCGGGAGUGAAAACACUGGGCUUAACUCAGUGCUUGCUUCCGAUACGGGCAGACUAGAGGUAUGCAGGGGAGAACGGAAUUCCUGGUGUAGCGGUGAAAUGCGCAGAUAUCAGGAGGAACACCGGUGGCGAAGGCGGUUCUCUGGGCAUUACCUGACGCUGAGGAGCGAAAGUGUGGGGAGCGAACAGG
rnacentral:rRNA from 1 species